CCUACGGGGGACAGCAGUGAGGAAUAUUGGUCAAUGGCCGCAGGGCUGAACCAGCCAAGUCGCGUGAGGGAUGACGGUCCUAUGGAUUGUAAACCUCUUUUGUCAGGGAGCAAAGGGCGCCACGUGUGGCGCUUUGCGAGUACCUGAAGAAAAAGCAUCGGCUAACUCCGUGCCAGCAGCCGCGGUAAUACGGAGGAUGCGAGCGUUAUCCGGAUUUAUUGGGUUUAAAGGGUGCGCAGGCGGAAUGUCAAGUCAGCGGUAAAAUUUCGGGGCUCAACCCCGUCGUGCCGUUGAAACUGGCGUUCUUGAGUGAGCGAGAAGUAUGCGGAAUGCGUGGUGUAGCGGUGAAAUGCAUAGAUAUCACGCAGAACUCCGAUUGCGAAGGCAGCAUACCGGCGCUCAACUGACGCUCAUGCACGAAAGUGUGGGUAUCGAACAGGAUUAGAUACCCGGGUAGUC
rnacentral:rRNA from 1 species